UGGGGAAUAUUGCGCAAUGGGCGAAAGCCUGACGCAGCAACGCCGCGUGAGUGAUGAAGGCCUUCGGGUCGUAAAGCUCUGUCGGAGGGAACGAAUGCUCCUGAAGUUAACAGCCUCAGGAGGUGACGGUACCCUCAAAGGAAGCACCGGCUAACUCUGUGCCAGCAGCCGCGGUAAUACAGAGGUGGCAAGCGUUGUUCGGAAUUACUGGGCGUAAAGGGCGCGUAGGCGGCCUACUAAGUCAGACGUGAAAUCCCCCGGCUUAACCUGGGAACUGCGUCUGAUACUGGAAGGCUUGAGUAUGGGAGAGGGAUGUAGAAUUCCAGGUGUAGCGGUGAAAUGCGUAGAUAUCUGGAGAAUACCGGUGGCGAAGGCGGCAUCCUGGACCAUUACUGACGCUGAGGCGCGAAAG
rnacentral:rRNA from 1 species